rnacentral:tRNA from 1 species
GGAGAGGUGGCCGAGUGGACGAAGGCGCUUGAUUCGAAAUCAAGUGUGCCGCAAGGCACCGGGGGUUCGAAUCCCCCCCUCUCCGCCA